GGUUUCGUACGUAGCAGAGCAGCUCCC
rnacentral:piRNA from 6 species